rnacentral:misc_RNA from 1 species
UUUCCGUAGGUGAACCUGCGGAAGGAUCACUAACGAAUAACUAUGGUGUCUUGGUUGUAGCUGGCUCCUCGGAGCAAUGUGCACGCCCGCCAUUUUUAUCUUUCCACCUGUGCACCGACUGUAGGUCUGGAUGACUCUCGUACUCCGGUGCGGAUGCGAGGAUUGCUCUCGGGCUCUCCUCGAAUUUCCAGACUCCACGUCUUUUUACACACCCCAAACGUAUGAUACAGAAUGUAGUCAAUGGGCUUGAUCGCCUAUAAAACACUAUACAACUUUCAGCAACGGAUCUCUUGGCUCUC